GGGCGGCUAGCUCAGUUUGGAUAGAGCGUCGGUCUCCGGAACCGAAGGUCGUGGGUUCGAGUCCCACGUCGCCCG
rnacentral:tRNA from 1 species